UACGUAGGUGGCAAGCGUUGUUCGGAAUUAUUGGGCGUAAAGAGCGUGUAGGCGGCCUUACAGGUCAGCUGUGAAAACUCGAGGCUCAACCUCGAGACGUCGGUUGAAACCGUAAGGCUAGAGUCCGGAAGAGGAGAGUGGAAUUCCCGGUGUAGCGGUGAAAUGCGCAGAUAUCGGGAAGAACACCCGUGGCGAAGGCGGCUCUCUGGGACGGUACUGACGCUGAGACGCGAAAGCGUGGGGAGCGAACAGG
rnacentral:rRNA from 1 species